rnacentral:misc_RNA from 1 species
GAUGAAGAACGUAGCGAAAUGCGAUAAGUAGUGUGAAUUGCAGAAUUCAGUGAAUCAUCGAAUCUUUGAACGCACAUUGCGCCUCCUGGUAUUCCGGGAGGCAUGCCUGUUCGAGCGUCAUUAAAAUCACUCAAGCUUAGGUUUACCUAUUGCUUGGUCUUGGAGAUGGAAGCCAAUUUAUUGGAAUCCUCUUCGAAAUUCAAUGGCGAAGACCCUUGCUCUCCCAAGUGUAGUAAUAACUUAUGUCACUGAAGGAAGCGAGAAAUCUUCUGCCGUAACCCCCAUAUUUUCUAUGAUUGACCUCGGAUCAGGUAGGGAUACCCGCUGAACUUAAGCAUAUCAUAAGCGGAGGA